rnacentral:rRNA from 1 species
UACGAAGGCGGCUAGCGUUGCUCGGAAUCACUGGGCGUAAAGCGCACGUAGGCGGAUUGCUAAGUCAGGGGUGAAAUCCUGGAGCUCAACUCCAGAACUGCCUUUGAUACUGGCGAUCUCGAGUCCGGGAGAGGUGAGUGGAACUGCGAGUGUAGAGGUGAAAUUCGUAGAUAUUCGCAAGAACACCAGUGGCGAAGGCGGCUCACUGGCCCGGUACUGACGCUGAGGUGCGAAAGCGUGGGGAGCAAACAGG